rnacentral:rRNA from 1 species
UACAGAGGUCUCAAGCGUUGUUCGGAUUCAUUGGGCGUAAAGGGCGCGUAGGCGGCAUGGCAAGUGGAUGGUGAAAUCCCUCGGCUUAACCGAGGAACUGCCGUCCAAACUGCUUCGCUUGAGACCGGGAGAGGUGAGUGGAAUUCCCAGUGUAGCGGUGAAAUGCGUAGAUAUUGGGAGGAACACCAGUGGCGAAGGCGGCUCACUGGACCGGUACUGACGCUGAUGCGCGAAAGCGUGGGGAGCAAACGGG